rnacentral:rRNA from 1 species
GACGAACGCUGGCGGCGUGCUUAACACAUGCAAGUCGAACGGAAAGGCCUGUCCUUCCUUGUGUUGGACGGGUACUCGAGUGGCGAACGGGUGAGUAACACGUGAGUGAUCUGCCCCCAACUUGGGUAUAAGCCUGGGAAACUGGGUCUAAUUCCCGAUAGGACUGCAGGGUGGUGCCUGUGGUGGAAAACGAUUUUCUAGUGGUUGGGGAUGAGCUCGCGGCCUAUCAGCUUGUUGGUGGGUAAUGGCCUACCAAGGCGGCGACGGGUAGCCGGCCUGAGAGGGUGGACGGCCACAUUGGGACUGAGAUACGGCCCAGACUCCUACGGGAGGCAGCAGUGGGGAAUAUUGCACAAUGGGCGGAAGCCUGAUGCAGCGACGCCGCGUGGGGGAUGACGGCCUUCGGGUUGUAAACUCCUUUCGACCGCGAGGAAGCCGCCUGGUUGGAAGGGUGGUGACGGUAGUGGUAGAAGAAGCACCGGCUAACUACGUG